CUCUCUCUCUCUCUCGAUGAUCUUCAUCUCUCGAUCUCCCUCUCUCUCCCUCCCUCUCUCGAUCUCCCUCCCCCUGUCUGACUCUCGAUCUGCAACAUCCACCAGCCGCUACAACCGUGCCGCAUCUCCGGUCAUCAACAACAUCCACCUGUUGUCAAUUUGAAGAGAUGUCAAAGAGAGAUGAACUUUAUUUCUAGAUGUGCAUGGUGGACAAAGGUCCAGAACGCUCUGAUUGGUUCCCUUGGCAGUGAAAUCCACACAUCUGAAUAUGGUAGCCAUUUUCUCGUAGGUCCACUGCAGCACUGCCUAACUAAUCAUGGCAUGUUUGAAACACCUUUUUCCCACAUGCAGGGGAUUAUUGAAGAGAAAGUAACCUACAUUCAAGGUUUUCUGUUGCUCCUCCUUUAUUGAUGUAGAAAAGCUUGUGAAAUGACGAUUUUGCAUGUACAGGUAAUUGAAAUUGAUUUAUUUUUUUCCCUUUUCCCUUAAGGAAUUGAUGGUUCUGAUGAGGAAUCAGAUUCCUAUGCCAGGACAGAAAGCUGGCCACUGCAAAACAUGUUGCAGUAUAAUCUCAUGAGCCUCGUUUGUGCAGACCGGGCUGUUAAAUUUUUAUGCAAAAUGCCAAGUGAUUGGGUGUGCAGUUAGGGUGUUCGAUAAAAUUCCUAAGAGGAAUUUGAUUGAUUGGAGUGCGCUUGUUUCAAUCAUUUCCAUUCAUUUUGGAGCUUUUUUUUUUUUUCCUUUUCUUUUUUGUUUUCUAUUUUCUUAUGUUGUUUUGAAGUCUUAAUUAAGCCAUGAUAGACAAUUCCAUUCUUUAAGGUAAGGUUAUUUGUACUGAUUGUAUAUACAUCUCUGAUAAAAUCUGUUGGCUUGGGUAAAGGCUGCUGAAGAAGCAAGCAUUUUAGGUGGUUUGUUGUUUUAGGUGAGAUGGAUGGCGAGGAACACAUUGAAAUUGAAUCUGUAGCAGAGUUGUUAUAUGGUCUUAUACAUGCCCGGCAUAUCAUAACCAACAAUGGAUUAAAUGACCGGUCUUAUACAUGCCCGUUUUAUCAAUAGUUUUCAUGAUCAUUGGUACAGAUGAUGGGUGGGUCAUGCCCUAAACACAAAAUCUAUUUUUAAAUUUACCUUCCACAUAAUCUGUUUUGGUUCUACUAGUUGCAAAAACUUAUAAAUUUGACAGUUCUUUAAUAGUGCUUGUCUGGUAUUCAGAAGAUAAUGAAUACUUACCCAGCGUGGAUCCUUCGCUAGAAUUUCUCAUCGCAUCAAAAGACAUCACUGCAACCGGCGCUUCCUCCACUCUCCUUAUAUUCAACAAUGAAAGAGGCUUCUCCGAUGAGAACAUCAACUCUAUAUGCAACAUUGGACAAUGCACAAAGAAAGGGAAAAGACAAUGUGGAUAUAUUGGAGAGGAAGGUCCUGAUUGUUCUUCAGUGGGCUAUGGAGCAACACAAGAGAUUGGUCCUUUCAUCAUUGAUUCAGAUGGAGGGCUUAAAUUCAAUCCUUACUCAUGAAACAAGGUCUUGAAAUAUAUUCAUAUCAUACAUGCCCCCAUAGAUAUACAUACAUACAUCUAAACAUGCAUGCAUUCUUACAGAUGCAUAGAGUAGGGAAAAUGGUACAUAAAUUUUCAUGAUAUGCUACAGAGGCCAAAAUUUGGAACGUUCAAUCUGAAAAGGAAAAUGUGGGGGUUUUGUGUUUUUGGUAACA